rnacentral:rRNA from 1 species
CAGCAGCCACGGUAAUACGAGGGGGGCAAGCGUUGUUCGGAAUUAUUGGGCGUAAAGGGUGCGUAGGCGGUUUCGUAAGUCUUAUGUGAAAUCUAUGGGCUCAACCCAUAGUCUGCAUGGGAAACUGCGAGGCUUGAGGAUGGGAGAGGUGAGUGGAAUUUCCGGUGUAGCGGUGAAAUGCGUAGAUAUCGGAAGGAACACCUGUGGCGAAAGCGGCUCACUGGACCAUUUCUGACGCUGAUGCACGAAAGCUAGGGGAGCAAACAGGAUUAGAUACCCGGGUAGUCCCUGUCUCUUAUAC